CACCGCGAGUGUUCGUGAAUAUCUGGAAACAAACCAAUAUCGAUUUUGGAUUUGUGAUGAAAAUCACAAUAUCAACGAGAUACUGUGGGCGUUCUCGACUGGCGAUCGUUUACAUAUUCGUAAGUAUGAUAAUAGAUUCGAAAAUUAUAGUGUAGUUAAAUAUGUUACGUGUAGUAUACAAAUAUUGUUUUUUCGAAAAAUCUAUAAUCUGUGCUUAUAACUUUUAUAAUAAUUUUAAUAAUAGUAACAGUUGCUAAUGAAUGGGGUAUAAUUUAUAUCAUUAUCAUAUCAUUGCAUUUAUCAGUGUAUAAUAUUAUUUUUUCGGAUCUCAGUGUAAACAUUUGGAUUACAUGCGAGAGUCAUAAACACAAAAUUUGUAAAAUAUUCAAAAAAAAAAUCGAAUUUGCAAUAUUCGAUUUUACUUUACAUUUAAGGGAGGGGGGAAUAAAUAAAAAUCAUCGUUAUCAAAAUCUACUAAAAAUCUUCGUAGAUUAUGGCGGCAGGUUCGUCAUAAACGAAUCUGCCUGUUAACAAACAAUGAAAGCGUAUUGUAGGUGUAUAUCUACAACGUUAACCGGUAACACCCCGUCAGGUUUUAGCGGUGGUAUAUUACGUGGCCCAAAGGGAAUUUCGACCGACCGCGAACGAAAAUGCCGAGGCGUCGGUGACGUUGGCGAAGUCACUCGUGGACAUCGGCGGUGGCGGGACGACGAACGCGACUGAACUGCGGAAAACGUACCGGGACAACGACUACGAUGUUAUCGGUCAAGUGACCGUAAUGCAGAAGGAGUUGGCAGCGGG